UAUUUCACCUGGCAGGGGAAACCCAUGAUCUCGAAGGUGGUUUACCCAGGGCGAGGCUUAUGCAUUGCGCUUGGGUGUGCUGACCCCUGAGAUUUCCCCAAAUGUGGGAAACUCGACUGCAUAAUUUGUGGUAGUAGAGGAUGGCAUUAGUACUCUGCCCUG
ensembl:snRNA U1 U1 spliceosomal RNA